GAUGAACGCUAGCGGCAGGCUUAACACAUGCAAGUCGAGGGGUAACAGGAAAGUGCUUGCACUUUUGCUGACGACCGGCGCACGGGUGCGUAACGCGUAUACAAUCUACCUUUUACAGGGGGAUAGCCUUUAGAAAUGAAGAUUAAUACCCCAUAGUAUCCAGACAUCGCAUGAUGAUCUGGAUUAAAGUUUCGGUGGUAAAAGAUGAGUAUGCGUCCUAUUAGCUAGUUGGUAUGGUAACGGCAUACCAAGGCAACGAUAGGUAGGGGCCCUGAGAGGGGGAUCCCCCACACUGGUACUGAGACACGGACCAGACUCCUACGGGAGGCAGCAGUGAGGAAUAUUGGACAAUGGAGGGAACUCUGAUCCAGCCAUGCCGCGUGCAGGAAGACUGCCCUAUGGGUUGUAAACUGCUUUUAUAUGGGAAGAAACCCACUUACGUGUAAGUGGCUGACGGUACCAUAAGAAUAAGCAUCGGCUAACUCCG
rnacentral:rRNA from 1 species